CGAACGCUGGCGGCGUGCUUAACACAUGCAAGUCGAACGCGAAAGGGACUUCGGUCCUGAGUAAAGUGGCGCACGGGUGAGUAACGCGUAGAUAACCUGUCUUCAUGUCUGGAAUAAUACGCCAAAGGGGUACUAAUACCGGAUAUUCUUGCUUUUCAUAAGUUAUGCAAGCAAAGGUGGCCUCUGCAUAUGCUACUGCAUGAAGAGGGGUCUGCGUACCAUUAGCUAGUAGGUGGGGUAAUGGCCUACCUAGGCGACGAUGGUUAGCGGGUCUGAGAGGAUGAUCCGCCACACUGGCACUGGAACACGGGCCAGACUCCUACGGGAGGCAGCAGUGAGGAAUAUUGCGCAAUGGGGGAAACCCUGACGCAGCGACGCCGCGUGAGUUGAGGAAGGCCUUCGGGUCGUAAAGCUCUGUCAAGAGGAAAGAAGUGUACAAUGGCUAAUACCUGUUGUAUUUGACGGUACCUCUAAAGGAAGCACCGGCUAACUCCGUGCCAGCCGCCGC
rnacentral:rRNA from 1 species